rfam:Eucalyptus grandis cultivar BRASTZ1 unplaced genomic scaffold scaffold_2299, whole genome shotgun sequence.
UAGUGAUUGGUAUGUUGGCACGGUCCAAUCAAAUCAAAAGCUCUCAACAUUUUGGGUUGAGUCCUUUCAUUUGAUUGAGCCGUGCCAAUAUGACGAUCGAUUUU